UACGUAGGGUGCAAGCGUUUGUCCGGAAUUAUUGGGCGUAAAGAGCUUGUAGGCGGUUUGUCGCGUCUGCUGUGAAAUUUCGGGGCUCAACCCCGAACUUGCAGUGGGUACGGGCAGACUAGAGUGUGGUAGGGGAGACUGGAAUUCCUGGUGUAGCGGUGAAAUGCGCAGAUAUCAGGAGGAACACCGGUGGCGAAGGCGGCUUACUGGUCCGGUUCUGACGCUGAGGCGCGAAAGCGUGGGGGAGCAAACAGGG
rnacentral:rRNA from 1 species